GUAAUAUUUAUUAACAUAUUUUGACUAAGACUAAGGAAAUAUUCGAUCAUAAUAAUAAUCUAAAUCAAUAAAAAAUAACAAACAAUAUCUUGACAAGAUUUUUCUAUAUAAAAAAAGAAUAAAAUUUGACACAAAUGGUUAAGAUAUUAUAAGGUAAGGAAUUUAUUUUUAUAUUAUUUUGACUACAAUCCAAGAAAUUAAGCUCAAGGAUAUUUUGAUAAAAUUUUCAUUUUAUGCAAAUUUAUGUUAUUAUAUAUACAACAACAUAAAUCAAAAUAAAACACUAAACAAAAAUUAAGAAAAGUUCAUACAAAAUGAGUUUCUCCAAAAACAUAUUGAUCGCAUUUGUUUUCACCAUCUUCUUCCUAGUAUCUAAUGUUCAUUGCUACCCAGACUUUGAAGUAAAACAAGACUACAAAAAAUGCUACCUUCCGUGUAAACAAAUAGCCGAAGGAUGUGAGAGGUUUUGUGCAGCUAUGACCAUUCAGUUAGUUGGUGAAUGUAUUUCUGAUAUAUGUUGUUGUAGGUCAAAAAGGCCAAAUUAACAUUAUUAGAGAUUAUACAUUUUGUACCAGUGUCAAGAGUGCUAAUAAGGAUCCAAAUCAAUUAGCAAACUGAAGUUACUUUGAUAGAGAAAUUAUCUUUCCUUAAAAGAAAUAAAAAAUAUUAAUUCAACAUAUAGGAUAUCUAAAUAGAAAAUAUCAAAAUUACUAGUGAAACAAGUCCUCAUAUACUAAUGGUGAAUUCAAUAAUUUUUUGGAUAACUAGAAUAUAUAUUUUUUAAUUUGAUAUUUUUCGGCGCAGAACCUUUGAUUCUCUUUUUAAUCGAUUGAACACAAUUGGCUUUGAUAUUUUAUAUUUGUAAAGGAUAACAAUUUGCGAGUAUGGUUUUGAUAGUAAUCUUGUAGUUGAAACACCAUUAAUUCGUCCUCGAAGAAACUAUAUAUAUUUUCUUUGUACUUUAAAUCAAAUAUUAAAUGGAUUAGACAAAACAUAUAGUCAAGAUAUUUAUUGUUAAAAAUAUGUUUUUACUGAACCCAUAAUUAUUUAUAUACAACUAAAAUAUAUUUUGUGUACUAAUACAUCUACCCGCGUAUCAUUUUUCACUGAAAUAUAAUAUCAAAAACUGAAUGCUUUAUUUGAUUAUAUAAAUGUAGUUCAUGUCAAUAAUUACAUAUUUCUUACCUAAUUUUUGUUGUAUAUUUUAAAAUUCAUGUUCAUUAUAAAAUAUGUGUUGAUAUUAGAAGAGCAAAUAAUAAUAAAAUAUGUGUUGAAAAAUUACAAGAGAAAAUAAUUUAUAUUGUCUAAAUAUAUUAUGCAUAAUGUAUUUGGCUUAUGUUAAGCUGAAAAUAAUUAUAGAAAAUUAUAAGUCUAACUAAAAUACGAAAGACACUCAAGAAUAAAAAAAUUCCCAAUUAGUUAUAUUGCAAAUUAAUGCAUUUAUUAUAAAACAUAAAAAAAUUAAGUUCUAAGAUUCUACUGAACUAAAAAUAAUAACUUACAUGCAUGAAAAACCUCAUAUGCCAAGUUCAUAUAUAUUUAAAUAUUUAAUUUAUGAAAAGAAAUUUGUAAUAUUUAUUAACAUGUUUUGACUAAGACUAAGGAAAUAUUCGAUCAUAAUAAUAAUCUAGAUCAAUAACAAAUAACAAACAAUAUCUUGACAAGAUAUUUCUAUAUAAAAAAAGAAUAAAAUUUGACACCAAUGGUAAAGAUAUUAUAAGGUAAGGAAUUUAUUUUUAUAUUAUUUUGACUACAAUCCAAGAAAUUAAGCUCAAGGAUAUUUUGAUAAAAUUUUCCUUUUAUGUAAAUUUAUGUUAUUAUAUUUACAACAACAUAAAUCAAAAUAAAACACUAAACAAAAAUUAAGAAAAGUUCAUACAAAAUGGGUUUCUCCAAAAACAUAUUAAUCGCAUUUGUUUUCACCAUCUUCUUCGUAGUAUCUAAUAUUCAUUGCUACCCAGACUUUGAAGUAAAACAAGACUACAAAAAAUGCUACCUUCCGUGUAAACAAAUAGCCGAAGGAUGUGAGAGGUUUUGUGCAGCGAUGAGCAUUCAGUUGGUUGGUGAAUGUAUUUCUGAUAUAUGUUGUUGUAGGUCAAAAAGGCCAAAUUAACAUUAUUAAAGAUUAUACAUUUUGUACUAGUGUCAAGAGUGCUAAUAAAGAUCCAAAUCAAUUAGCAAA